rnacentral:rRNA from 1 species
CUUCGGGUAAUGGACAGUGGCAGACGGGUGAGUAACGCGUGGCAACCUACCAUUUUCUAAGGGACAACAGUUGGAAACGACUGCUAAUACCUUAUACGUCCUCCGGGAGAAAGAUUUAUCGGUGAAUGAUGGGGCCGCGUUAGAUUAGCUUGUUGGUGAGGUAAUGGCUCACCAAGGCGACGAUCUAUAGCUGGUCUGAGAGGAUGAUCAGCCACACUGGGACUGAGACACGGCCCAGACUCCUACGGGAGGCAGCAGUGGGGAAUAUUGGACAAUGGGCGCAAGCCUGAUCCAGCAACGCCGCGUGAAUGAUGAAGGCCUUAGGGUUGUAAAAUUCUUUCGCUAGGGAAGAUAAUGACUGUACCUAGUAAAGAAGCCCCGGCUAACUCCGUGCCAGCAGCCGCGGUAAUACGGAGGGGGCUAGCGUUGUUCGGAAUUACUGGGCGUAAAGCGUGCGUAGGCGGAUCAAUAAGUAAGGGGUGAAAUCCCGAGGCUCAACCUCGGAACUGCCCUUUAAACUGUUGGUCUUGAGUUCUGGAGAGGUGAGUGGAAUUGCUAGUGUAGAGGUGAAAUUCGUAGAUAUUAGCAGGAACACCAGAGGCGAAGGCGGCUCACUGGACAGAUACUGACGC